rnacentral:tRNA from 1 species
GUGAGCGUAGCUCAGUUGGUUAGAGCUCCGGUCUGUGGAACCGGUUGUCGUGGGUUCGAUCCCCAUCGCUCACCCCA